rnacentral:lncRNA from 1 species
CUGUCUAAUUUUUGUGUUUUUCUUUUAGUAGACACAAGGUUUCACCAUGUUGGCCAGGCCGGUCUCGAACUCCUGACCUCAAGUGAUCCGUGUGCUCCUUUUAAGAUGCCCAGAAAAGCUGUAUUUAACUCUUGCUAUUUGUAACUUGGGGAUGGUCUCCCCUGCCCCAGGGCACAUAAGAGCAAAGGCUCCAAUGGUCAGUGGAUGACUCUGCAAAAGUGACCCCCUGUGCCAGAAGCUAUAGCCCUCUCCCCGACAGGUCUCUCUUGUUGGCCAGAGGGCCUGCUUCCCAUGGGCAUUGCAAGUGCCACUGUGCGGGGCCUGGCUCUGCACACCCAGGAAAAGUCUGCAGACCCCCAGCCCUCCGCAAUAAUUCACCAG